rnacentral:rRNA from 1 species
UGUUGCUUGCAAGGGCGUAUGGUGGAUGCCUUGGCAGACAGGACCGAUGAAGGACGUUUGAGGCUGCGAUAUGCCUCGGGGAGCCGCCAACAGGGCUUUGAUCCGAGGAUUUCCGAAUGGGGGAACCCACCGACCGUCAUGGGUCGGUACCGGCUUCGGCCGGGGGGUACGCAGGGAAGUGAAACAUCUCAGUACCUGCAGGAAAGGAUAUUCCGUGAGUAGUGGCGAGCGAAAGCGGAUGAUGGCCAAACCUUGCGCGUGUGAUACCCGUCGGGGGUUGCGCGCGGGGUGUUGCGGGAUCGCGUGUGCCGGCUCCGACGGGCCGGCCGGCAGUUGCAGAAAACCAUGUGUCAGGGGAACCGGGUUGAAUACCGGGCCGCAGAGGGUGAGGGCCCCGUACCUGAACGCGCAUGGUCUGCCGAUCGCGUCUCCCAAGUAGCACGGGUCCCGUGGAACCCCGUGCGAAUCCGCCCAGACCGUUGGGUAAGCCUGAAUAUUCCUGUCUGACCGAUAGCGAACGAGUACCGUGAGGGAAAGGUGAAAAGUACCCCGGGAGGGGAGUGAAACAGUCUCUGAAACCGUGCGCCUACAAUCCGUCGGAGCCCUUUUGUGGGGUGACGGCGUGCCUAUCGAAAAAUGAGUCUGCGAGUCAGUGGCAUGUGGCGAGCAUAACCCGUGUGGGGUAUGCGUAGCGAAGGCGAGUCUUAAAAGGCGUUUGAGUCGCGUGUCCUGGACCCGAAGCGGGAUGAUCUAGCCCUGAGCAGGUUGAAGCGCGGGUAAGACCGCGUGGAGGACCGAACCCACCUGGGUUAAAAACCGGGGGGAUGACUUGGGGCUAGGGGUGAAAGGCCAAUCAAAUUCCGUGAUAGCUGGUUCUCUCCGAAAUGCAUUUGGGUGCAGCGUCGGGUCAUUACGUCCCGGGGGUAGAGCUACUGGAUGCUUGCGGGCCCGUAUCGGGUACCAACAGCAACCAAACUCCGAAUACCGGUGACGCGUAUCCCGGCAGUGAGUCGGCGGGGGAUAAGCUUCGUCGUCGAAAGGGAAACAGCCCAGACCGUCGUCUAAGGUCCCGAAGCGUGUGCUAAGUGGGAAAGGAUGUGGAGUCGCAUAGACAGCCAGGAGGUUGGCUCAGAAGCAGCCACCCUUGAAAGAGUGCGUAACAGCUCACUGGUCUAGUGGUUCCGCGCCGACAAUGUAGCGGGGCUCAAGCACACCACCGAAGACGCGGCAGUAUUUUGUACUGGGUAGGAGAGCGUCCCAUGAGGGGCGAAGCGGCCGUGUGAACGCGCCGUGGACUUCAUGGGAGUGAGAAUGCAGACAUGAGUAGCGAGAGACGGGUGAAGAUCCCGUCCGCUGGAUGACCAAGGGUUCCAGGGCCACGUUCAUCGUCCCUGGGUGAGUCGGGUCCUAAGGCGAGGCCGACAGGCGUAGUCGAAUGGAUGAACGGGUCGAUAUUCCCGUACCGGCUUUCAGCCGCCAAAACCGAGGCUUGGAGUACUAACCUCCGGGUCCGGGCUUACUGCUCCUUCGGGGGCGGGAUGCCCUGGCCUGUUGGGACCGAUCCUUGUAGUAGGUCAGCGCAGGAGUGACGCAGAAGGGUAGCCGGCCGCGGAGGUGGUCUUCCGUGGUCAAGCACGCAGGGCGUGGGACAGGCAAAUCCGUCCCGCAUGGGUCCGAGGUGCGAUGAUGGGGGCCUUAUGGCCCGAUAUCCGGUGAUCCCGGCUGCCGAGAAAAGCUUCGGCGUCAGGCUCAAAGCCGCCCGUACCCCAAACCGACACUGGUGGUCAGGUAGAGAAUACCAAAGCGAUCGAGCGAAUCCUGGUCAAGGAACUCGGCAAAUCACUCCCGUUCCUUCGGUUUAAGGGAGACCCCCGAUGGUGAACACACUUGCUGUGGGAGCUUUUGGGGGUGGCACAGACCAGGGGGUAGCGACUGUUUACCAAAAACACAGGUGCAUGCGAAGGCGCAAGCCGCUGUAUAUGCACUGACGCCUGCCCGGUGCCGGAAGGUUAAGAGGAUCCGUCAGCCUUCGGGUGAAGCGGUGAAUUCAAGCCCCGGUAAACGGCGGUGGUAACUAUAACCAUCCUAAGGUAGCGAAAUUCCUUGUCGGGUAAGUUCCGACCUGCACGAAUGGCGUA